rnacentral:SRP_RNA from 1 species
UCGCACUAGUCGGGGAGAUAGCGGUGCCCUCUGCCUGCAAUCCGCUAUAGCAGGGAUGAAUUCCCACACCCGGGCGUGUUUGAAUAUUGUCUGUCCUGCGUAAGCGGUGUUGAGAAACCGGUCUUGCGCAACGGGAUCCCGUGAACCAUGUCAGGUGGGGAACCAAGCAGCAUU